rnacentral:rRNA from 1 species
UGGGGGAUAUUGCACAAUGGGCGAAAGCCUGAUGCAGCGACGCCGCGUGGGGGAUGAAGGCCUUCGGGUUGUAAACUUCUUUUGCUCUGAACAAGGCAUGCCUUUGGGGUGUGUUGAGUGUAGGGGUUGAUUAGUGCCGGCUAACUACGUGCCAGCAGCCGCGGUAAUACGUAGGGCGCGAGCGUUGUCCGGAAUUAUUGGGCGUAAAGGGCUUGUAGGUGGCUGGUUGCGUCUGUCGUGAAAGCUCAUGGCUUAACUGUGGGUUUGCGGUGGGUACGGGCUGGCUUGAGUGCAGUAGGGGAGGCUGGAAUUCCUGGUGUAGCGGUGGAAUGCGCAGAUAUCAGGAGGAAUACCGGUGGCGAAGGCGGGUCUCUGGGCUGUUACUGACGCUGAGGAGCGAAAGCGUGGGGAGCGAACAGG